rnacentral:rRNA from 1 species
UGGGGAAUUUUGCACAAUGGGGGAAACCCUGAUGCAGCGACGCCGCGUGAUGUAGAAGGCCUUCGGGUUGUAAAAAUCUUUUCUAUGGGAAGAAAAUGACAGUACCAUAGGAAUAAGGACCGGCUAAUUACGUGCCAGCAGCCGCGGUAAUACGUAAGGUCCGAGCGUUGUCCGGAAUCAUUGGGCGUAAAGGGUACGUAGGCGGGUAAGCAAGUUAGAAGUGAAAUCCUGUAGCUCAACUACAGUAAGCUUUUAAAACUGCGCAACUUGAAAUAUGGAAGGGAAAGUGGAAUUCCGAGUGUAGCGGUGAAAUGUGCAGAUAUUAGGAGGAAAACCGGUGGCGAAGGCGCCUUUCUGGCCAUAAUCUGACGCUGAGGUACGAAAGCGUGGGUAGCAAACAGG